rnacentral:pre_miRNA from 1 species
AAUGCAAUUGCUGGAUGAAAUAGUAAGAGUAUAUUAUAUUUUGUAAGAAACUACCAAACUGUCUUCCAAAGUGACUGUGUCAUUUUGAAUUUCCACUAGCAAU